rnacentral:rRNA from 1 species
GACGAACGCUGGCGGCGUGCUUAACACAUGCAAGUCGAGCGGUAAGGCCCUUUCGGGGGUACACGAGCGGCGAACGGGUGAGUAACACGUGGGUGACCUGCCCUCAGCUCUGGGAUAAGCCUGGGAAACCGGGUCUAAUACUGGAUAUGACUCCAUGACGCAUGUUGUGGGGUGGAAAGCCUUGUGCGGCUGAGGAUGGGCCCGCGGCCUAUCAGCUUGUUGGUGGGGUGANGGCCUACCAAGCCGAAGACGGGUAGCCGACCUUAGCGGGU